rnacentral:lncRNA from 1 species
AAGUUAGAAUUUGAAUUUACAAUUAAAAUUUAGAAUUAUAAAUUAAAUUUUAAAAAUUUAAACUUAAAUUUUUAAUUAUAUACUAAAUUGAAAUUUGAAAUUAUGAUUUAAUCUAAUGAAAUUAUAUGAUUUAUAUUUGAAUUCAAAUAAUUAUUAGUAUAAAAAAAAAAAAAAUCUUUGCUCAGUCAUUCUGGAAUCAAAGUUGACU